GAUGGACGCUGGCGGCGUGCCUAAUACAUGCAAGUCGAACGCUGGAGAUCUAGCUUGCUAGAUCGAAGGAGUGGCGAACGGGUGAGUAAUACAUAAGCAACCUACCCACGAAGACUGGGAUAAUCUCUGGAAACGGGGACUAAUACCGGAUAGGUAAUCGGAAGGCAUCUUCUGGUUAUUAAAGGUUAAAAACACUGGUGGAUGGGCUUAUGGCGCAUUAGUUAGUUGGUGAGGUAACGGCCCACCAAGACGAUGAUGCGUAGCCGGCCUGAGAGGGUGAACGGCCACAUUGGGACUGAGACACGGCCCAGACUCCUACGGGAGGCAGCAGUAGGGAAUUUUCGGCAAUGGGGGCAACCCUGACCGAGCAACGCCGCGUGAGUGAAGACGGCCUUCGGGUUGUAAAGCUCUGUUGUAAGGGAAGAACGGUAGAUAGAGAAUAUCUAAGUGACGGUACCUUACCAGAAAGCCACGGCUAACUACGUG
rnacentral:rRNA from 1 species